rnacentral:rRNA from 1 species
UACGUAGGGUGCGAGCGUUAAUCGGAAUUACUGGGCGUAAAGCGUGCGCAGGCGGUUGUGCAAGACAGAUGUGAAAUCCCCGGGCUCAACCUGGGAACUGCAUUUGUGACUGCACGGCUAGAGUGUGUCAGAGGGGGGUAGAAUUCCACGUGUAGCAGUGAAAUGCGUAGAUAUGUGGAGGAAUACCGAUGGCGAAGGCAGCCCCCUGGGAUAACACCGACGCUCAUGCACGAAAGCGUGGGGAGCAAACAGG